rnacentral:rRNA from 1 species
UACGGAGGGGGCUAGCGUUGUUCGGAAUUACUGGGCGUAAAGCGUACGUAGGCGGCUUUGUAAGUUAGAGGUGAAAGCCCGGAGCUCAACUUCGGAAUUGCCUUUAAGACUGCAUCACUUGAACGUCGGAGAGGUGAGUGGAAUUCCGAGUGUAGAGGUGAAAUUCGUAGAUAUUCGGAAGAACACCAGUGGCGAAGGCGGCUCACUGGACGACUGUUGACGCUGAGGUACGAAAGCGUGGGGAGCAAACAGG